rnacentral:rRNA from 1 species
AUUGAACGCUUGCGGCAUGCCUUACACAUGCAAGUCGAACGGCAGCACGGGGGCAACCCUGGUGGCGAGUGGCGAACGGGUGAGUAAUACAUCGGAACGUGUCCUAUCGUGGGGGGAUAACUAGUCGAAAGACUAGCUAAUACCGCAUGAGGUCGAGAGAUGAAAGCAGGGGACCGCAAGGCCUUGCGCGAUUGGAGCGGCCGAUGUCGGAUUAGCUAGUUGCGGGGUAAAAGCCCACCAAGGCGACGAUCCGUAGCUGGUUUGAGAGAACGACCAGCCACACUGGGACUGAGACACGGCCCAGACUCCUACGGGAGGCAGCAGUGGGGAAUUUUGGACAAUGGGGGAACCCUGAUCCAGCCAUGCCGCGUGUGUGAAGAAGGCCUC